rnacentral:rRNA from 1 species
UACGGAGGUGGCAAGCGUUGCUCGGAAUCACUGGGCGUAAAGGGCGCGUAGGCGGCACGGUAAGUCGGGAGUGAAAGCCCGGGGCUCAACCCCGGAACGUCUUUCGAAACUGCCGAGCUAGAGUGCGGAAGAGGCAACUGGAAUUCCCAGUGUAGCGGUGAAAUGCGUAGAUAUUGGGAAGAACACCUGAGGCGAAGGCGGGUUGCUGGGCCGACACUGACGCUGAUGCGCGAAAGCCAGGGGAGCGAACGGG